rnacentral:tRNA from 1 species
AGAAAGUUAGUCUAACUAAGACGGU